UAGCUGAAUUUGUCUGAUAUAAUCUUUUAUGUGUUCAUAUUGGUGCUUAGAACCAUGAUUCGUGGUGCGUUUAUACUUGGUUCUGAUUUGGAAAUUGUGGAAUAUGACUUGAAUCUCACAUAAAGAAUUGUGGUAUUUACUAUAGCAAUUGAUUGUUGUUUUUCAAAAAUUUUGUGGCUAGAGAAUGGUUAUUAUGUCUGUUGACUCAGCUCUAGUUAGAAUAUUUGUAUGUGAUUAGGAUGAUAUAGAGAGCAUGGCUUUAUGUGAUUACCUUUAUGCUUUAAUAGGGCUGGAUGGGAUUAUAUGGUGUAUACUUAGGAGGGAUUAUGAUGCUAAGUACCUUUAGGUCCACUAAUAGUGUGUCUUAGCUAUUAGUUCAUUAUUAUUGCUUAAUAACUUUUUCUCCUAAAGGGGCUUAAAUAAGCUGUCAAAAUGUGGCCAAAAGAUCCAGAAUAAAAGAUGUUGUUUGACAUGGGCAAGUAGUAGGCGGCUAUAGUGCUGGUGGCUUAUAUGAUAUUGUGCAACAACAAUAACCAAUUCUGUGGAUGAUGAUGCUGAGGUGGAUGAAGCAGAUAAGUAUGGGCUAUGGGUUUGGGUUGGGGUUUUGGAAGUUGGUAUUUUCUGGAACUAUGGUAGGUUAACAUGCUCACCUCCUACCCUCUGCUCUCUUGUUCUUUUUUGUCCAUUCCUUUUUGAUGGGGAGUGCAGAGGGAUGUCUGUUGGGUUCAUGCCAUUCAUUGAUAACAGAUGGUGGUGCUGGUGUGAACAAUGGUGGUGAUGUUGAUAGCUUCCCAAAGAGAUUCGGGACCUAAAGGGCUGUAAAUGUUGAAAUGUUAGGAGUGAUUCAGGAAUGAAGAGAUAAAUGUUGAAAUGUUAGCAACAAUUUGUAUAAAAACAAGAAUGUAAAUACCAUUGGUUUUCUCAUUUCAGUUUAUAUUAUAUGAUGCUUUUGGUUUUCCCAGUUAAUUUUAUGCUAUUAUGAUGCUUACAGUUUGAGUAACUCCAGAACAGAUUGAGGGAAAUUUUUUUAUUUAGAAGAGGCUUUAACAUUUGGACCUCAAUAUCUUUUCAGUCUUCUUGGGUAUAUGGUGUAAUUAAUCUGAUAUCCAUUAAACUUUUUAUAAUGGAAGUGCUAGUGCCAUCCUGAUCUCAUUGUUGUCUUUUCACAAUGGACGUGAAAUGUUAUUUUGGAUGCUGAGUUUGGUCUGUCCUUGAGGACUUUGUGGUAUUUUUUGCUGCGUUUGUGCACUCAUGUUCAUCCUCAGUAAGUUUGGGUAUGAGUUUGAAGUGCUUAUACUUUGUGUCCUUUGGCUCAUGUUCUGUAAGUUGCUAUCUUUAUAUGCUUAAUGGAUGCUGGGCUAUAUGCCAGCCUGGACAUUUCCAUUGUGGAGAAUUUUUAAUGAUAAUUAAUUCAAUAAGGCAUUGGUGGGACAACCUUGUUCAGGUAUCCAGAUCAAGAUAAAUAUACUUGGUGGUCAAGGCUGUCUAUUUAUAUGUUUCUCGUUUUUGUUCAAUCCUAAGUAUGUGUAUUCAUUAUGACUUGAAUUCCUCAAUUAUAUCUUGCUCAACUAUUAGGAUGUUAGGUGAUUUGCACAACCCAGACCAUGACAGCUUAUGGUUAUCUGGUUUUGAAUAGUUACACACCAUUUCUCUUUGUUUUGUCCCUGGGACUAUGGCUGAAAUCAUUUGAAGAGCUGAUCGAAUUUCUCCGAUAUUUGUUAAUAUGCGCUUAACAAUUAGCUAUCUAUGUGUAAUUACAGGAAAGUGAGAGUGAAGAAGAUA
rnacentral:misc_RNA from 1 species